rnacentral:misc_RNA from 1 species
GAUGAAGAACGCAGCGAAAUGCGAUAAGUAGUGUGAAUUGCAGAAUUCCGUGAAUCAUCGAAUCUUUGAACGCACAUUGCGCCUUCUGGUAUUCCGGAAGGCAUGCCUGUUCGAGAGUCAUUAACAACCGUUUCGAUCCCUUUCUUUCAGAAAUUACAAAGAGGAAAAGGGUUUGGUUAUGGUGGAGGAGGGAAAGGGAGCGUUUAGCCUGUAAAAAAAGAGGCUGUGUUCCGCCUCCCCCCCAAAAUUGUACAGGCGGUCGUGUGCGCCCACGCAUCGAGGUGUUGUAAAAGCUGCCACGGCACUUUUCACCUGUGCAGUGCGAGAUUGGCCAGCCGGUUUAAAAACCCCUCCAAACAAUCAAAGGUUGACCUCGGAUCAGGUAGGGAUACCCGCUGAACUUGAGCAUAUCAAUAAGCGGAGGA